GUAGGGUGCGAGCGUUAAUCGGAAUUACUGGGCGUAAAGCGUGCGCAGGUGGUUUUGUAAGUCAGAUGUGAAAUCCCCGGGCUUAACCUGGGAACUGCGUUUGAAACUGCAAGGCUAGAGUGUGGCAGAGGGGGGUGGAAUUCCGCGUGUAGCAGUGAAAUGCGUAGAGAUGUGGAGGAACACCGAUGGCGAAGGCAGCCCCCUGGGUCAACACUGACGCUCAGGCACGAAAGCAUGGGGAGCAAACAGGAUUAGAUACCCUGGUAGUCCAUGCCCUAAACGAUGUCAACUAGUUGUCGGGUCUUAACGGGCUUGGUAACGUAGCUAACGCGUGAAGUUGACCGCCUGGGGAGUACGAUCGCAAGAUUAA
rnacentral:rRNA from 1 species